UACGUAGGGGGCAAGCGUUGUUCGGAAUCACUGGGCGUAAAGGGCGUGUAGGCGGUCCGCUAAGUCUGAUGUGAAAGCCCGGGGCUCACCCCCGGAAGGGCAUUGGAAACUGACGGACUCGGGUCCCGAAGAGGAGGGUGGAAUUCCUGGUGUAGCGGUGAAAUGCGUAGAUAUCAGGAGGAACACCGGUGGCGAAGGCGGCAUCCUGGACCGGCAUUGACGCUGAGGCGCGAAAGCUAGGGGAGCAAACGGG
rnacentral:rRNA from 1 species